GCCUGUGCUCUGGAGCUUGAUCCGAAAGCUUCCACAGUGAGGACUGCUCCGUGGGGUCCUGCUCCGCUUCGCAGUGGAAUGGAACGGAUUUAGAAGCCUGCAGUAGGGGAGUGGGGAGUGGAGAGAGGGAGCCCAGAGUUACAGACGGCGGCGAGAGGAGGGGCGUCUUUAUUUUUUUAAGGCCCCAAAGAGUCUGAUGUUUACAAGACCAGAAAUGCCACGGCCGCGUCCUGGCAGAGAAAAGGCUGAAAUGGAGGACCGGCGCCUUCCUUAUAAGCUCGUUGGGGCCUAAGCCAGUACCGACCUGGUAGAAAAAG
rnacentral:lncRNA from 1 species